UACGAAGGGGGCGAGCGUUGUUCGGAAUUACUGGGCGUAAAGGGCGCGCAGGCGGCUCUGAAAGUCAGAUGUGAAAGCCCCGGGCUUAACCUGGGAAUUGCAUUUGAUACUCUGGAGCUUGAGUACGGGAGAGGAGAGUGGAAUUCCCAGUGUAGAGGUGAAAUUCGUAGAUAUUGGGAAGAACACCGGUGGCGAAGGCGGCUCUCUGGACCGUAACUGACGCGUGAGGCGCGAAAGCGUGGGGGGCAAACAGGG
rnacentral:rRNA from 1 species